ensembl:misc_RNA Y_RNA Y RNA
GGCUGGUCUGAAAGUAGUGAGUUAUCUCACUUGAUUGUUCACAGUCAGUUACAGAUUGAACUCCUUGUUCUACUCUUUCCCCCCUUCUCACUACUGCACUUGACUAGUCUUAA